rnacentral:ncRNA from 1 species
UCGGAGUUUUAUUCUUGCUUGAAUUGUAUUUACUUUAUUGAUUACUUUAUAUGUAAGUUUUUGCGUAAGUUAAACUUUAUUUAUUCUUGAUGAUAAUAUUGAUUUUAAGUAUCUCGCAGUAAUGAAUUCUAUUAAUUAAUGGGAAUUAGAUUUGGUAAUUUUUAUUUAUAUUGGUAAAAUUUGUGCCAGCAUCCGCGGUUAUACAAUGAAUAUAAGUGAAUAUUUUUGAUUAAAACAGUUAAAUUUAUUGAUUGGGAUUAUUUUGUUAUUUUUAGGUGAAAUUUUUAUUUUUUAAAAUAUUCUGUCUUUUGAAGCUGUGAAAUUUUGGUGAAUUAAACUAGGAUUAGAUACCCUAUUAUUUAGAAUGUAAAUUAUUUAAUCUAGGUAGUAUUAGAUAAGGUCUUGAAACUUAAAGAAUUUGGCGGUAUUUUAGUCUAUUUAGAGGAAUCUGUCUCGUAAUCGAUAAUCCACGUUGAACCUUACCAAAUUUAUUGUAUGUAUACCGUCGUUAUAAUGAAAAUUUUUUUAGGAUUAUACUAAUUUUCUGGAUUUUGUUUUUAUGAAUAUUUCAGAUCAAGGUGCAGUUUAUAAUUUGGUGAAGAUGGAUUACAUUUAUAUUUAUUAUUGGAUAUAAUAUUGAAAUAUAUUUGUGAAAUUGGAUUUAAUUGUAAUUUUUUAUAUAUUAUAAAAAUGAAAUGAGCUCUAUAAUAUGUACACAUCGCCCGUCACUCUCAUUAUAUUUAAUUUGAGAUAAGUCGUAACAUAGUGGUUGUACCGGAAGGUGUAGCUGGAAUGAU